rnacentral:rRNA from 1 species
GACGAACGCUGGCGGCGUGCUUAACACAUGCAAGUCGAACGGAAAGGCCCUGCUUUUGUGGGGUGCUCGAGUGGCGAACGGGUGAGUAACACGUGAGUAACCUGCCCUUGACUUUGGGAUAACUUCAGGAAACUGGGGCUAAUACCGGAUAGGAGCUCCUGCUGCAUGGUGGGGGUUGGAAAGUUUCGGCGGUUGGGGAUGGACUCGCGGCUUAUCAGCUUGUUGGUGGGGUAGUGGCUUACCAAGGCUUUGACGGGUAGCCGGCCUGAGAGGGUGACCGGCCACAUUGGGACUGAGAUACGGCCCAAACUCCUACGGGAGGCAGCAGUGGGGAAUAUUGCACAAUGGGCGGAAGCCUGAUGCAGCAACGCCGCGUGCGGGAUGACGGCCUUCGGGUUGUAAACCGCUUUCGCCUGUGACGAAGCGUGAGUGGCGGUAAUGGGUAAAGAAGCACCGGCUAACUACGUG